CCUACGGGAGGCAGCAGUAAGGAAUAUUGGUCAAUGGAGGCAACUCUGAACCAGCCAUGCCGCGUGCAGGAAGAAGGCCCUAUGGGUCGUAAACUGCUUUUGUACCAGAGAAAACCCGAGUACGUGUACUCGGUUGAUAGUAUGGUAAGAAUAAGCAUCGGCUAACUUCGUGCCAGCAGCCGCGGUAAGACGAAGGAUGCAAGCGUUAUCCGGAUUCAUUGGGUUUAAAGGGUGCGUAGGCGGACUGAUAAGUCAGUGGUGAAAUCUCUCGGCUUAACCGAGAAACUGCCAUUGAUACUGUUAGUCUAGAGUAUAGAUGACGUUGGCGGAAUAUGACAUGUAGUGGUGAAAUACUUAGAUAUGUCAUAGAACACCGAUUGCGAAGGCAGCUAACGAAACUAUAACUGACGCUGAGGCACGAAAGUGGCGGGAGUACAACAGAGUAGUAUACCUACGUAGUACGCGACCGUAACGAACUAGUAUACUUACGUUGUUGGUCGAUAUAGUACGU
rnacentral:rRNA from 1 species